CCUCGCCUCGCCUCGCCAUGGCGGAAGGGAGGCCCAGUCCCCGCGCUCGGCUCACGGCGGCAACUUGAGGCCUCCGUCGGGCCUGGGCUGGCGUGUCUGGGCGCUGGGUCCGCCGCCGUCCUGCCUGGAGGGCGGUGCCGGCACAGACAGAAGUACAAUAUAUGAUCAAACAAUUUUAAAGAGAAGGUACCUUCCAGAAUGGACCAGCUUCUGUUACCACCAACCAUCCCACUUAUAAUGUCUCUGCUGUGGAGAAUAUUCUCCAGAUCAAGCUCCCAGGCAACUGGAAUCUGUUAUUUACAACAGUUAGUACAGCUGAAUGUUCUUUAAAUCAGAAUGACUGAA